UGACCAGACUGCAACAGCUCUCCCACCAGCAGGAUAUAGGUUUAGAGGUCACAAGUAGCAACGCAUUAAAAUUAAAAACCAAGUGAAGAAUACUUCACAGCUCUGAAACCGAUAUCAGAGAGCUUGUGGGACUUACCAGAGCCACCUGGGUUCUUGUUCCUUAUGCUCGCACCAGUGAAGUAUGACAAUGACACUGCAAACAAGAACUCAUAGUAGGAAGUUAUCUGAGACUUUGGUUUUAAACAAUAUUCCUGGAAGUCAUCUUUUAGAACUACAAGAUAUUCACCACUUUGUGGGCGAUGAUGGUGAGCAUGAGUUGUUGGCUCUCACACUGCCUCUGGAAAAGCAUCCAAGAUUCCCAACAGAAUGCUGUAGUGGGCGUGUGUGAAGAUGAAGAUCUGAAAGUUUCAGAAAUAUGAACAGAAGAAGAGAGCUGAAUGUUGAUGACGGUACAGCUGAAUUUACUCUAAAUAGUAUCAAGAGAAAAAUUACUGCCAGUUUUUCUUCCAAGUGUCCUGCCUUAUUCAGCAGAGUGAUGGCGAUAAUUUUAGGGUAUUA